rnacentral:misc_RNA from 1 species
CAACAGCGCGAAAGGAGGUGAUCCGAUGUCUCAUGGUUCAGCAGAGAGGUCGGCAAUUUCCGUCGCGGAGCAUUAUUGUCGUUAAACGGACGAUAAAGGCUUCGCUGGCGGCACUUCCCGGCCGCUGACCAUGCGAAGGGCCGUACCGGACCGCCGGUGCGGCCC